AAGGUGAUAUGAAGGGGAUGGUUGGCAUUGUUGAUUAAGAGUUGAGGUCUUGUAAGAAGAGACGUAUAUGAUGCAUAUUGAUGACUAUUUUGAAUAGUGAGUGAUUGAGUAUUAGAUAUUUUUAUGAGAAAUAUUGGCAACAAAGAAUAUAUAUAGGAGAUUGGGAAGGUACUAAAAUAAAAUUUAAUAAGUUAGAAAAUGUAUUUUAUAUUUUUUGCAUGAUUAGUGUUUUAGUGCAGAGUAUAAAUUAAUUCUUUAUCAUGAAGUAAAGUUUGAGAAGAUAUUAAACUAUGAUUGCUAUGGGAUAGUAAUACUUGAUGAGUUCAAAAAUUUGUACAGAAUAGAAGAUAAAUUGGUGAUAAGAAAAUAAGGUAUUAUCCAUAAGUGAAUGAAAAAGAAUAUAAGAGGAGUGGAUUGAAACAUGUGUAGAAUAGAACACUAAGUUUAAGUUGAUGUAAAAAAGAGUUUAUAAUUUGGCAUUUGAUGUAGUGAUUUGUUUGGUUUGUGAAUUUGCAAGUAUGUGCAUGAGAGAAAUUGUUUUUUGAGAGUAUAGUAAUGAUGAAAAAUAAAUAAAAUUUGUAUGGUAUUAAGUAUAAUUUGUAGGAUUAAAUAUGAUUCUCACAAACACUUCAAAUAUUUAAAGUUUUGAGUUUUGAUAUAUUAAAUAAGUGGAUUUCAAUUAUUGAUAAGG
rnacentral:lncRNA from 1 species